rnacentral:lncRNA from 1 species
GUUGGAUGGCAUCACCGACUCGAUGGACAUGAGUUUGAGCAAACUCCGGAGUUGAUGAUGGACAGGGAAGCCUGGCAUGCUCCAGUCCAUAGGGUCCAGAGUCAAACACCACUGAGUGACUGAACUGAACUGAACAACACCUGAAAAGCGCAGUAGAGCAGCUCCCCUCCAACCAAGAACUAGGGAUCCAGGCUGCUCCCACCUCACAGCUGUAAGGAGGCCCCCUCAUCCUCCUCCUGACAGACAAAGGGGAAGAGAGCAUGUGGAUGGAAGGCCCUCUUGAUGUGUAACUAUUGUCCAGGAUUAAUCACUUUUCAUCAGACAACAUGUCCAAGGUAACUGCAAUGGAGGCUGGGAAAAUAUACACGAGCACAUGGACAUAAUAAAAGAGUUUCUGCCGCACGGGGCUAGUUUGUUUGUUUAAAUCUGUCUAGGUCUGUUUUCCACUCCUACAAAGUAAAUGAAGGACUUAGCACUAUGGUUGGCACACGUUAGCAAUAUACAUACACUCAAAGUUUUAAAAUUUAAUGUUAUGUUAUAUAAAUAUUUGUACAUAGUCCCUCAAUGGAGACAUAAAGCUACCUUCCUUAGAUCUAUGGGAGAGAAAUUCAAAGAAACUGCUUUUUCCAAACCAAAUCUAAAUAGAUACCCAAAGAACUCAUAUUUUAGAGCUCUUCAUGAGAAAUGUUCCUUAUAACGUUAUGCAACAGAGAAAAAAAUCAAAAUCUUAGCAGGAAAAGAAGCCCUGUGGAGGAAGAAGAAGAUGGGCUGGUCGAGUUUGUGUGGGGGUGAGGGGAAAUGUAGUCGGGAGUUGGGGAGGGUGGCAGCAUGAGAGAAUUUAUGAGAGAGAGAAGAAAAUUUGUUUAUGUUGUUAACAACAA